UCGAGCAAUCCCGCCUAUAAAGCACUUUUAAAAAAACAUCCAAAUUGUCAAAAUUGUUACUGACAUAUCGGUAAUGUUUGGGUUUUCCUUUAUUUAGAAUCACUUCCUGUGCCUGUGCUUUUAUUUUGUCAGUGUUUCCUGUUUGGCCUCUGUGUUGUGAAGCACCUUUACUUUCCAUGCCAUGCCCUGUCAGCACACCUGUGCCUCGUUUAAUGAGUUCUGUUUGGUUCCACCUGGGUCCCUCCUUCAGUGCCGGAUCAUUCUUCUUUUGAUACAAAUGCUGAGUGUGCUGUUUUUGUUUGUUUCCUGCUUCCUUGCGAGAAGAUACAUUAAUUUUACUCGCAUCCUUUGGGUCCCGCGGCCCCGAACGGGACAAGCGGUAGAAAAUGGAUUUAUGGAUGGGGGUCACGCUGCAAGCCUUGCCCAACAGUUCGUGAGACAAACACCUCCAUUGACGUGGAAUAUACAUAAUAACAGGAAGAUAAAAACAUCCCAUCAGUCGGCAGCCCAAUGAGAGAAGACAUUCUACAACCACCGCAUCCUUCUCCCGCCAGCCAAAACGUUUCCAGUCUCGUCCUUGCAUCUGUUUCUUCUUCUUCGUCUUCUUCUUCUGCAAACAGAGAAGGCCGGCGAGGAGGCGCCAUGGACAAACAAGACUGAAGAGAUAGCAUCUCCAACCCAGGCCGUGCCAGACCAAGACUACAAUGGCUCCUCUCAGACGGCCUGGGAACACGUGCCUCGGACCUUGACCCUCUCCCCAUCCCCCCCGGCUGUAAACAAGGUUUCCAGUCCAUGAUGAGGAGCAGAUCCCAGUUCCCACUCCACACAGUGAAAGAGUUCACUGGAAUACCAAAUACCUGUCGGUUCAUUUGGCGCAAAUCCCAUUUUGUGAGGGAAGACCACCAGUUCUGUUUGGCUGGAGUUCAAACUCAAACAUCUCCAGACAAAGACCACGGACCACGUAGUGAUCUACUCUUUUGUUGGCCCUUACUUCUACUGAUUUUAUUCAGUGCUACCUCAGUUUUUGACUGUUUGUCCAAAGACUCUCUGAUGAGAUUUACCUAACAUUUGUUGUUACUCAGCCGGUGUUUGUGGGUCCGAGGGACCCGUUGCAUUUUGUGGCUUUUAAUGCCGCACAAUCAAACACUUUUAUGUUGAAAUACUGAACAGAUGUUUACCUUAUCCCAAUAAACAUCUGUUCAGUAUUUUAACAUAAAAGUGUUUGAUUUGACUCUUCAUCUAAAGAUAGUGUGUUUAAUGUAUUGUAUGAAAAGCAAUUGUUUGAAUACAUUUUCAUUAUUAUGUCAUAAAUAAUUAACAAUAAAGAC